GAUGAGUUAAAGGAAAUUGCUCCCUAUACUCUUUUGAAGUGCUCGAGUGACGCUACAACCUUGGUAUGACAAGCACAUUAUUUCAUUAUCAAGUUUCAAGAAUUGAUCAGUUUGAUAUGAUUCUGUGCAACUGAAAUGCUUUGAUUCUUGAAUAUGAUGAUGUGCACAACCCUACACUAGUCUAAUGAUAAAUACAAUGUCUCCUCUUUUUCUGUCUUGUGCUAAUUGCUGCAUAAUCUGCAGAGAAUUAGAGUCCAAGUAAGGAGUGUGUACAUUGCAGGUAGAAGCCAUCAAAAGGCCUUUACUUUUAUGCAUAUAGGAUCAGAAUCACCAACCUAUCCGAUCGCCCGGUGCAACUUCUUAGACGUCAUUGGAUCAUAACUGAUGCCAAUGGAAGAACUGAGACAGUCCAGUUAAGCUUCCAGUUUCCCACCUUCUACCCCUCAGUACUUCAAUAGACUCGAUUCGGUAUCUGUUUUUGAGGAAGGUGACUAUGAGAUGAAGCACAUAGAUAAAGUUGGAACUCGAACGUAGAAUGUAGCUAUUGCCCCCUUUGCUCUGUCCACAUUUGGAGAUGAUAUUAGUGUAGAGAUUAUCCAACUCAUAUGCAGCUUCUAGUUGUAGAGAUUAUGAUGUUAUUUAGAUAUAUUUGACACUUUGAUUAUGGAUGGAUAAAGUUAUUUGGAUGAUUAAAUAUUUAUAUAUGUUUUGGUUGUGGAA